CGAAUAAUCUAUAGGGACUUAAAUUUUCUUUUCUCUAAAGAGGAAAAUUAUAAGUUUGGUUGGUUGACAGUCAAAACCAAAGUCACAGAGAUGGGGCAGCAUGAGAUAUAGGAAAGAACCUUGGUGAGAGUUAGAGACCUUGAGUCCCUCCUGAGGCUGGCUCUGCCACCAACUACCUGUGACUUAAAAUGACUCAUUUGGUUUCUGUGGCCCUGAGCUCUCUGCUGCUGAGGGGAGGCUGAGUGAGGAGUCUCCUCCCCACUUGCAGCUCUUCCACUGUAGCCAUUGUCUGCUCACUACCCCCAAACCAAAACACCCCUUCUCAUUCGCCAAGGGAGCUCCGGGGCUUUAGAAGCUGUGCUCUUAAACCAAGCUCACAAAUGCAGGACCCCGGGGCUGCGUUGUUCCUACAACUCCAUCUCAAGUCAGCUUUAUGUUUUGGACUAGCAAGUGCAAGGUGUGUGACUACAGACCUAGAGUUCCAAUGACAAAAGGAUUGACCAUGCAGCUGAUAAGGCCCAAGCCUCAGGACUCAUCCCUUGCCCAGGCCCUUUCCGUUACCCUGAGGCGGCCUGAGAAUGAAUUCACAUGGUCGUAUGUUUUUGUAAAAAUCUGUAAAAUUAAGCUAUUUCUGCAUAAUUUUCUUUAAGAGGAUCCCAUCUCCAAAUUGUCUAAGCUGCAGUCUCCUCCAAAUGUGGAUCCACUCUGGUCCCCAUAAACUUCCAAGUUUCCUGUUGCAUCACCAAGGGAUGCACAAACCAACCAAGGAAACCUCCUAAGACAUAUCCUUGCUGGCCUGGUAUGAGGGAAAGAGGAAAGAAGACUUACAUCUUGGUAUUCUUUUCUUUCUUUCCCCUGUUUGUUCCUUCCUCGGUGCCAGCCCCUUAAGGGAGGGCUGAUCUUUGUCGCUCAUCCCCCUGUCUGCUCUUUCAAGGCCAGUCACAGUGGACGGGUGUUUUACCUACUGGAAUCUAGCUACUUUAUUUAACCUUAAAAUUUGUAGGACAGUGUCCCGUUUUUUCCCGCAGCUCCUUAGAGACUUUAUGGUAUCGAAUAAACAGGUCCUAAGUCAUCCAGGCGCAGGCUCAAACAGCAGAGGAUUCUUUACAGACAGAGUGCCCUACCCGGAGGAACACCCCUAGGCGCGCCCGGAGCUGUCUGGGAUCUGCGCUGUGGCCCCGCCAGCAGGGAUAGCCUUCUAGCAGCACGCCCAGGGGGGCUGGCGCGCGCCGGCGGGGGCGAGGGCUGGGGGAGGAGACCGGAAGGGGAGAGGUAAUCCCUGGCGGUUGCAGCAGCCCCUUUUUAGAAAGACUCAGUCUCUCCCCGGACAGCUGCUGUGGUCGCUCCACAAACUUCAAAGGCGCCCUUCCUCUUGGACUGCGCCUCCUCGCAGCUCCCACGCCCCCAGCCCGCAUCCCCUUCCUCUGUCCCUGAAGGGACAGCAGGCUGAGAGAGCGGGAGUGAGGAGUUGGCGGCAGGAGUAAUGCUGUGACGCCUGUCACUUUCCUGCUGAGUCUCUGAGAAGGGAGACCAAGAAAAACUGGGGCAAUGCAGAGUGUUUUGGAAUUCUCAGCAGACUAGAAUCAACAUGAGCAGAAACUAAGGGUUUAUCACAGACCUGAAAGUGUUUCUGAAGAUGUCUUCUGGAAUUGGCAGAUCAUGAGAACCUUGAAGAAAGGAAUUUGUCUUUUCUGACUUUUUAUCCCUUCAGAAAGACCCCGUUGAGAGAUGGCAGCAUCCACAUCCAGGUUACUUCACCUUAACUUGAAGUACCUAAAUAAUAAUUAGAAAGAAGAUACAGAAAAAGCAAAAUUGGCUAUAAACAAGAAAUACACCGAUAAGCAACUGCAACACCUUUGAGAUUAUUUUGAAAUUUCAGUAAUCCUAAUGAGAUAUACUUCAGUUAUUAGACAAAUAAAUAUGACAUUAAAAAGUGAAGUGCUUCAAAUCACUGGAAUAUAUAAGGAAUAUACUGUUCGUACUGAGAUUUUCAAUAAAUUUGAUGACUUUUAAUCUUU